CUGGAGAAUCCCAGGGACAGAGGAGCCUAGGGGGCUGCCAUCUAGGGGGUCGCACAGAGUUGGACAUGACUGAAGCAACUUAGCAGCAUCAGUGGCCAUACAAUGCUGUUUAUUGUAUAAAUUAAAUCUGUAUCAGAAUGCUGAUUUUGAAGAUUUUGGGGGUCUUUAAUCUCUUAUAUAAAAAAAAAUUAUCCUGGAUUCAUUGUUGAUGGAUAUAAGUUUAGUCUUUGCCUUUUUCUUGCUUUAGUGGCUUUAACCUAAGACUGAUCCAUCUAAAGCAUCAAUAAAGUGGCAUUGCUCAUAUUGAAAGGAAGCCUUGGCUUGUCAAAACAUCCUUUGCAAGAUUUUUUGCAAAAUUCUUUUCCAUUAUUUCCUGUGAAAUUUAUUACAGUGAAGAAAAAUAAAACUUUUAUUUGAUAGGAAAACUGAAUAUAGGAGCCUGGUAUGAACUGAGCAGAAAGUUUGGAGCUGAAUAUAGCUGGAUUUAUGCCCUGGACAACUUAUUUUAGCACUCUGAACUGAUUUUUCCAUCUGUGAAAUGGGUAUAAUAAUUGCUCCUCCACCCAUGGGAUUUUCCAGGCAAGAGUACUGCAGUGGGGUGCCAUUGCCUUAGGCCCUCUGAAACUCAAUCCUACUCAAUAAAAUAAAAAUAUGUAUACACACACUCACACAUAUAUAUACACACACAUAUACAGUAUAUCUGUGAUGUUAAAAUUUCAUAGGUAUGUGGAUGGUCUGUGUCAGAAAGAAAAAAAAAAAGCCUAAAUAGGCUCCUUGUGCAUGGUUGCUAAGUCUCUUUAUUUGUGUCCAACUCUUUGCAACCCCAUGGACUCUAACCUGCCAAGAUUCUCUGUCUAUGGGAUUUCCCAAGCAAGAAUACUAGAGUGGGUUGCCAUGCCCUCCUCCAGAGGAUCUCCCUGACUCGGGGAUUGAACACACAUCUCUUAUAUCUCCUGGAUUGGCAGAUAGGUUCUUUACCAUCAGUGCCACUUGGGAAGCCCAGGAUCCUUAGAGGGUGGUAUUGAAAAAAGUUUGACAAGACUGCUCAAAAAAUGACCCUGGACAAGUCAUUUCCAUUAUUUGUGCCUUAGUUCCCCAUGUGCACUCAGCUCAUAGGGUUGUUUUGAUGGUUAAAGUAACAUUAAGCAUCAUUUAUUUAUUGAGUGCCCAUCAUGUGUUAAUUAUUGCCAAUAUAAGGAGAGUGUACUCAGUCAUUAAAAAAAAAUGAAAAACUGCUAUUUGCAGCAAUAAGGAUGGACCUAGGGAGUGUCACACUGAGUAAAGUAAGUCACACAGAGAAGGAGAAAUAUUGUAUGACAUCCCUUAUAUGUGGAAUCUUAAAAUAAAUGAUACAAAUAAACUUCAAAACAGAAAUAGACUAACAGACUUCAGAAACAAGCUUAUGGUUGCUAGGCGGAAGGACUGGGGGAAGGAAUAGUUAUUGAGUUUGGGAUGGGCAUGUACACACUGCUGUAUUUUAAAUGCUGUAUUUGAAAACCAACAAGGACCUAUUGAAUAGCAUGCGAAACUCUGCUCAAUAUUAUAUGGCAGCCUGGAUGGUAAGAGGGUUUGAAGGAGAAUGGGUACAUGUA
ensembl:lncRNA